AGCAAUAUGAAGGUCAGGCUGAAGACCUUACCCGAUUAGCUGAGAGGUGGUGCAUGGCCGUCGUCAGUUCGUACUGUGAAGCAUCCUGUUAAGUCAGGCAACGAGCGAGACCCACGUCCACAGUUGCCAGCAUACCCUCCGGGGUGAUGGGUACACUGUGGAGACCGCCGCUGCUAAAGCGGAGGAAGGAGUGGGCAACGGUAGGUCAGUAUGCCCCGAAUCUCCCGGGCUACACGCGGGCUACAAUGGUUGGUACAAUGGGCAUCUACCCCGAAAGGGGAAGGAAAUCUCUUAAAGCCAAUCGUAGUUCGGAUUGAGGGCUGCAACUCGCCCUCAUGAAGCUGGAACCCGUAGUAAUCGCGUUUCAACAGAACGCGGUGAAUACGUCCCUGCUCCUU
rnacentral:rRNA from 1 species